UUCCGGCGUGCUGGUAGCCUGUUGGGCUGUGUGCUUGUGGUGCUGAUAUUUAUAAUUAUUAGUGUCAUUAGUUUGGUAAUCUACAGCAUUUAAUCUGCGACAAUGCAGGCGAUCAAAUGUGUAGUCGUCGGAGACGGAGCUGUGGGUAAAACAUGUCUGCUGAUCAGCUACACAACAAAUGCCUUCCCCGGGGAGUACAUCCCCACAGUGUUCGACAACUACUCUGCGAACGUCAUGGUGGACGGCAAGCCGAUCAACCUGGGCCUAUGGGACACGGCCGGUCAGGAGGACUACGACCGGCUGCGACCGCUCAGCUACCCGCAGACGGACGUCUUCCUCAUCUGCUUCUCCCUCGUCAACCCGGCCUCGUUCGAGAACGUGCGGGCUAAGUGGUACCCGGAGGUGCGCCACCACUGCCCCAACACGCCCAUCAUCCUGGUGGGCACCAAGCUGGACCUGCGGGAGGACAAGGACACCAUCGAGAAGCUCAAGGAGAAGAAGCUGGCGCCCAUCACGUACCCGCAGGGUCUGACCAUGGCCAAGGAAGUGCGCGCCUCCAAGUACCUCGAGUGCUCGGCGCUCACACAGAAGGGCUUGAAGAACGUGUUCGACGAGGCGAUCCGCGCCGUCCUGUUCCCACUGCCGCUGAAGCGAAAACGCCGCGCCUGCUGCUUACUAUAGACGGCGCCGCGGUAGCCGGCCGGACGACCUAGGUGGCGCCACGGGUACUGGCGGAAAUGGGCUCGGCCAUGGUUAAGGAGAUAGGCGCUGUCAAGUACCUCGAGUGCUCGGCCCUCACGCAGAAGGGCCUGAAGAACGUGUUCGACGAGGCCAUCCGCGCCGUGCUCUGUCCGCAGCCGCACCAGAAGAAGAAGAG